rnacentral:rRNA from 2 species
GACGAACGCUGGCGGCGUGCCUAAUACAUGCAAGUCGAACGAACUCUGGUAUUGAUUGGUGCUUGCAUCAUGAUUUACAUUUGAGUGAGUGGCGAACUGGUGAGUAACACGUGGGAAACCUGCCCAGAAGCGGGGGAUAACACCUGGAAACAGAUGCUAAUACCGCAUAACAACUUGGACCGCAUGGUCCGAGUUUGAAAGAUGGCUUCGGCUAUCACUUUUGGAUGGUCCCGCGGCGUAUUAGCUAGAUGGUGGGGUAACGGCUCACCAUGGCAAUGAUACGUAGCCGACCUGAGAGGGUAAUCGGCCACAUUGGGACUGAGACACGGCCCAAACUCCUACGGGAGGCAGCAGUAGGGAAUCUUCCACGAUGGACGAAAGUCUGAUGGAGCAACGCCGCGUGAGUGAAGAAGGGUUUCGGCUCGUAAAACUCUGUUGUUAAAGAAGAACAUAUCUGAGAGUAACUGUUCAGGUAUUGACGGUAUUUAACCAGAAAGCCACGGCUAACUACGUGCCAGCAGCCGCGGUAAUACGUAGGUGGCAAGCGUUGUCCGGAUUUAUUGGGCGUAAAGCGAGCGCAGGCGGUUUUUUAAGUCUGAUGUGAAAGCCUUCGGCUCAACCGAAGAAGUGCAUCGGAAACUGGGAAACUUGAGUGCAGAAGAGGACAGUGGAACUCCAUGUGUAGCGGUGAAAUGCGUAGAUAUAUGGAAGAACACCAGUGGCGAAGGCGGCUGUCUGGUCUGUAACUGACGCUGAGGCUCGAAAGUAUGGGUAGCAAACAGGAUUAGAUACCCUGGUAGUCCAUACCGUAAACGAUGAAUGCUAAGUGUUGGAGGGUUUCCGCCCUUCAGUGCUGCAGCUAACGCAUUAAGCAUUCCGCCUGGGGAGUACGGCCGCAAGGCUGAAACUCAAAGGAAUUGACGGGGGCCCGCACAAGCGGUGGAGCAUGUGGUUUAAUUCGAAGCUACGCGAAGAACCUUACCAGGUCUUGACAUACUAUGCAAAUCUAAGAGAUUAGACGUUCCCUUCGGGGACAUGGAUACAGGUGGUGCAUGGUUGUCGUCAGCUCGUGUCGUGAGAUGUUGGGUUAAGUCCCGCAACGAGCGCAACCCUUAUUAUCAGUUGCCAGCAUUAAGUUGGGCACUCUGGUGAGACUGCCGGUGACAAACCGGAGGAAGGUGGGGAUGACGUCAAAUCAUCAUGCCCCUUAUGACCUGGGCUACACACGUGCUACAAUGGAUGGUACAACGAGUUGCGAACUCGCGAGAGUAAGCUAAUCUCUUAAAGCCAUUCUCAGUUCGGAUUGUAGGCUGCAACUCGCCUACAUGAAGUCGGAAUCGCUAGUAAUCGCGGAUCAGCAUGCCGCGGUGAAUACGUUCCCGGGCCUUGUACACACCGCCCGUCACACCAUGAGAGUUUGUAACACCCAAAGUCGGUGGGGUAACCUUUUAGGAACCAGCCGCCUAAGGUGGGACAGAUGAUUAGGGUG